rnacentral:rRNA from 1 species
GACGAACGCUGGCGGCGUGCUUAACACAUGCAAGUCGAACGAAGUGGCGAACGGGUGAGUAACGCGUAAUCAACCUGCCCUUCCGAGGGGGACCAACAUUGGACACGACUGCUAAUACCGCAUACGGAAGGAGGGGCUUUCGGCUGAUUAGCUAGUGGGAGGGGUAACUGCCCACCAAGGCGAUGAUCAGUAGCCGGUCUGAGAGGAUGAACGGCAAAAUUGGAACUGAGACACGGCCCAGACUCCGACGGGAGGCAGCAGUGGGGAAUCUUCCGCAAUGGACGAAAGUCUGACGGAGCAACGCCGCGUGAGUGAUGACGGCCUUCGGGUUUUAAAGCUCUGUUAAUCGGGACGCGGUACCGGAAUAGAAAGCCACGGCUAACUACGUGCCAGCAGCCGCGGUAAUUC